rnacentral:rRNA from 1 species
UACGAGGGGUCCUAGCGUUGUUCGGAAUCACUGGGCGUAAAGCGCACGUAGGCGGAUGUGUCAGUCAGGGGUGAAAUCCCGGAGCUCAACUUCGGAACUGCCUUUGAUACAGCACGUCUUGAGUCCGAUAGAGGUGGGUGGAAUUCCUAGUGUAGAGGUGAAAUUCGUAGAUAUUAGGAAGAACACCGGUGGCGAAGGCGGCCCACUGGAUCGGUACUGACGCUGAGGUGCGAAAGCGUGGGGAGCAAACAGG